rnacentral:rRNA from 1 species
AGAGUUUGAUCCUGGCUCAGAUUGAACGCUGGCGGCAUGCCUUACACAUGCAAGUCGAACGGCAGCACGGGAGCAAUCCUGGUGGCGAGUGGCGAACGGGUGAGUAAUACAUUCGGAACGUGUCCUGUAGUGGGGGAUAGCCCGGCGAAAGCCGGAUUAAUACCGCAUACGCUCUCUACGGAGGAAAGGGGGGGGAUCUUAGGAACCUCUCGCCUACAGGGGGCGCGCCCAUUGGAAAAUAACCAAGUUGGGUGGGGUAAGGCCUACCCAAGGCAACAUUCUUUACCUGUUCUGAGAGGACGACCGCCACACUGGGACUGAGACACGGCCCAGACUCCUACGGGACGCAGCAGUGGGGAAUUUUGGACAAUGGGGGCACCCUGAUCCAGCCAAUGCCGCGUGUGUGAAGACCGCCUUCUGGUUGUAAAGCACUUUUGUCCG